rnacentral:rRNA from 1 species
GACGUAGGGCGCGAGCGUUGUCCGGAAUUAUUGGGCGUAAAGAGCUCGUAGGCGGCUUGUCACGUCGGGUGUGAAAGCCCGGGGCUUAACCCCGGGUCUGCAUUCGAUACGGGCUAGCUAGAGUGUGGUAGGGGAGAUCGGAAUUCCUGGUGUAGCGGUGAAAUGCGCAGAUAUCAGGAGGAACACCGGUGGCGAAGGCGGAUCUCUGGGCCACAACUGACGCUGAGGAGCGAAAGCGUGGGGAGCGAACAGG